GGAGUCUGGACCGUGUCUCAGUUCCAGUGUGGGGGACCUUCCUCUCAGAACCCCUAUCCAUCGUCGCCCCGGUGGGCCGUUACCCCGCCGGCUGGCUAAUGGAACGCAUCCCCAUCCUGUACCGAUAAAUCUUUCAUCAAACGACCAUGCGGACAUUUGACACAUGGAGUAUUAAUUUCCCUUUCGGGAGGCUAUCCUCCAGUACAGGGCAGGUCGGAUACGUGUUACUCACCCAUUCGCCGGUCGCCAUCAAAAGGACCGAAGUCCUCCCAUGAUGCCCCUCGACUUGCAUGUGUUAAGCCUGUAGCUAGCGUUCAUC
rnacentral:rRNA from 1 species